GUGGGGAAUAUUGGACAAUGGGCGAAAGCCUGAUCCAGCCAUGCCGCGUGUGUGAAGAAGGUCUUCGGAUUGUAAAGCACUUUAAGUUGGGAGGAAGGGCAGUAAGUUAAUACCUUGCUGUUUUGACGUUACCGACAGAAUAAGCACCGGCUAACUUCGUGCCAGCAGCCGCGGUAAUACGAAGGGUGCAAGCGUUAAUCGGAAUUACUGGGCGUAAAGCGCGCGUAGGUGGUUUUGUAAGUUGGAGGUGAAAUCCCCGGGCUCAACCUGGGAACUGCAUCCAAAGCUGCAUGACUAGAGUACGGUAGAGGGUAGUGGAAUUUCCUGUGUAGCGGUGAAAUGCGUAGAUAUAGGAAGGAACACCAGUGGCGAAGGCGACCACCUGGACUGAUACUGACACUGAGGUGCGAAAGCGUGGGGAGCAAACAGGAUUAGAUACCCGGGUAGUCC
rnacentral:rRNA from 1 species